GGAUGGGAUGGUUCAGUGGUAGAAUGCUCGCCUGCCACGCGGGCGGCCCGGGUUCGAUUCCCAGCCGAUGCA
rnacentral:tRNA from 1 species